UCCGUUAUGGUGUAGUGGCUAACAUUAUCGCCUCUCAGUUGUCACCGAGUACCCGAUGUCGCGAUAGCCCAGGGUUCGAUUCCCUGUAACGGAA